UUGCGGUUAAAGCUCGUAGUUGGAUUUCUGUUGAGGUCAGCCGGUGCACACCUCGUGUGUUAUUGUGUUUGGUCUCGACAUCCUCUAGGGGACCGUUUCUAUCCUUUAUUGGACUGGACGGGACUUUAGACUUUUACUUUGAGGAAAUUAGAGUGUUCACGGCAAGCAAGUGCUUUGAAUACAUUAGCAUGGAAUAAUAAUAUAGGACCUUCGUUCUAUUUUGUUGGUUUCUAGAACUUAGGUAAUGAUUAAUAGGGACAAUUGGGGGCAUUCGUAUUAACGCGUCAGAGGUGGAAUUCUUAGAUUGCGUUACGACGAACUACUGCGAGAGCAUUUGCCAAAGAUGUUUUCAUUGAUCAAGAACGAAAGUAUGGGGAUCGAAGACGCUUAGAUACCGUCGUAGUCUAUACCAUAAACUAUGCCAACUAGAGAUUGGUCGGGUUCUCCUAUUUGGCCCGGUCAGCAUCUUAUGAGAAAUCAAAGUUUUUGGGUUCCGGGGGGAGUAUGGUCGCAAGGCUGAAACUUAAAGGAAUUGACGGAAGGGCACCACCAGGAGUGGAGCCUGCGGCUUAAUUUGACUCAACACGGGAAAACUUAAUCACUAGUGAAUUC
rnacentral:rRNA from 1 species